rnacentral:tRNA from 1 species
GCAGGUAUAGUUCAACGGAUAGAGCAUCAGUUUACGAAGCUGAGAAUCGGGGUUCGAAUCCCUGUAUCUGCACCA